rnacentral:rRNA from 1 species
CCUACGGGUGGCAGCAGUGGGGAAUAUUGGACAAUGGGCGAAAGCCUGAUCCAGCCAUGCCGCGUGUGUGAAGAAGGCCUUCGGGUUGUAAAGCACUUUCAGUGGGGAAGAAAGCCUUGGGGCUAAUACCCUCGAGGAAGGACAUCACCCACAGAAGAAGCACCGGCUAACUCCGUGCCAGCAGCCGCGGUAAUACGGAGGGUGCGAGCGUUAAUCGGAAUUACUUGGCGUAAAGCGCGCGUAGGCGGUCUGAUAAGCCGGUUGUGAAAGCCCCGGGCUCAACCUGGGAACGGCAUCCGGAACUGUCAGGCUAGAGUGCAGGAGAGGAAGGUAGAAUUCCCGGUGUAGCGGUGAAAUGCGUAGAGAUCGGGAGGAAUACCAGUGGCGAAGGCGGCCUUCUGGACUGACACUGACGCUGAGGUGCGAAAGCGUGGGUAGCAAACAGGAUUAGAUACCCGAGUAGUC